rnacentral:rRNA from 1 species
GACGAAGGGGCGAGCGUUAUCCGGAAUGACUGGGCGUAAAGGGUCCGUAGGCAGCAUUUUUGUUAGAGGUUAAAUAAAGCUUAACUUUUUCCGCUUCUAAACGUAAUGCUUUGAGUUUGAUAGGAGAUAGCAGAAUUUCACAUGGAGGGGUGAUAUCCGUAGAUAUGUGAAGGAAUACCAGAGGCGAAGGCGGCUAUCUAGAUCAAUACUGACGUUGAGGGACGAAAGCAUGGGGAGCAAACAGG